AAAACUCUUGACAUUUGCAAGGACGUGGAUAGAGCUAGAGAGUAUAAUGCUAAGUGAAAUAAGUCAGAGAAAGAAAAAUACCAUAUGAUUUCACUCAUGUGAAAUUUAAGAAAGGAAACAAAUGGACAUAGUGGAAGGGAGAAAAAAAGAGAGGGAGAGUCAGUCCAUAAUAGAUUCUUAACUAUAGAGAAUAAACUGAGGGUUGUUGGAAGGAGGCAGGUGCGGGAUGGGCCUAGAUGGGUGAUGGGCAUUAAGGAGGGCACUUGCGAUGAGCACUGGGUGUUGUAUGUAAGUGAUGAAUCACUGAAUUCUAUUCCAGAAACCAAUAUUGCUCUGUAUGCUAAAAUUUAAAUAAAAAUAAAAUUAUAAUAGCUAUUACCUAUAUUUUCUAUUUUCGAAGCUUCCGACUCCUCCUCCAGAUCUUGAAGUCCCCCUGCUUCGUCUCUGUAUCUUUUUAUCAUCAAUUCACGUAAUUGGAUAUUAUGACAAGGAAGCAGAUGAGAAAAUUUGCCCACGAAAAGGAAGAAGAUGGACUGUAGGAAUGCACAUGGCUGAUGGAUAAUGCUGGAUAUUUGAAGUUUGUUCGAUUUGACAAGAUGCUAGAGCUAUUAAGUCCAUUAGGCCACGGAUGGCAACUUUAUUUUGCUCACACAGUGGUGUAACAGAAAAACAUCAACCCCAGGGUAAAAUAGCUGGAUCUUGCUACAGAGAAUUUGGUAAGGAGAUGCAUUUCCUCCCCCAAGUCGGCUGUCUCCAUUCGUAACUGAUACUACAUACAGCAGGGAAGCAUCUGUGUUUCAGAAAAAUGAUGUGUGAAAACAGUUUUCAAAAAUGCACGCUUUCUACAUUAAAAAAAACUAAAAAUAUGUUUGGUUACCACUUUGCAGAGCCUAUUGAAUUUGGCUGUGAAUGGGAAUCUAAUUGCCAUCCGUUUCUAUUGGAGCCUUCUACGAACAUGACAUUUCCAUUAAAAAGAGAAGUCGACUAUGGCAUUAUGAGAAGAUCUCCUUUGUCACCGGCUCUUGAUACUGUGGGAUUGGCAUCAGAACGUCCCCACGUGCAGCGCUGAACCUAAGGGCUGAGGGACCCACGGCUUGGGCUGGAGGGACCAGACUGAAACUGCACUCGUCGCAGAAAUAUCUGUCCGCUGCUCCGUGCGUGGCAGGAGCACAUAGUAGCAUAUUUUCCUAAACUUGGUAGCCCGAUGUCGAUGAUCGGCACCCCUUCUCCUUCUCUUUUUUGGCAUUUCUUGUUCGGUGACCCGAAGCCCAGCACCCCGUUUGUUGAGUCGGACAUUCUGUUUUUAAUGAUUUUGUUUUUCCUUUUGGUGCCCACCUGGCCCAGGGAAGGCGCUAUUCCAGCAGUGCGGAUAAUAAGAUUUACAGUUAAUAAGGUGAAAGCACACAACGAUGCCAGAUUAAUAUUUCUCAGGCACUGCUCCAAUUAACGUCUUCCCCAAUUAAUCUACUGUCUCUAACUCCCAGCCUAAUUAAAUCCAGAGUUCUACCCCUGGACGUCAAGAGUCUUUACUUCACGGCCUCUUCCUGUCUUCUGACAUCUUCUUCUACUAUUUCCCUAGCUGAACAGUGUAGACCAGCUCCGUGGUUCUCAUUCCUGGCUGCACAUCAAAAUUACUGGGGGGGUGGGGGGGAAGCUUUAAAAAACAACAACAACAACAGAAAAAAAAAACCCACUGAUGCCCAGGGCCCCCACUGCAUGCUAAUUGAAUAUGAAUCUGAGGGUGAAGGACAGGCAUCAAUUUGGUUUUUCUGUUUUUUGGAGUUUUUAAAAGCUCCUUAUUGUGGUCGUCUAGUGCUAUAAAACAAACCACCCAAGACUAAUUUGUAUAAAACAGAGACCAUUUUAGUUUGCUCCCAACUCUGGGAGGCCAGAAUUCAGAAGGAACACAACACUGAUGGUGGGUCUCUGCUCUACGAUGUUGGGGUCCUGGCUAAAAAAAAAAAAAAAAAAAAUCACAAAUGGUUAGGCGUGUCUCAGGUAGCUAGGUGCUGGAAUCAUCUAGAGCCUUCUUUGUUCACUUCUUUGCAGCUUGGACCGGGAUGCCUCAAAGGCCGGGCUCCGCAGUACUGUUAGCGCCUCCCAACGCUUCCCCAGAGAGCCUCCCCUGAGCAUCGUGGCUCCACGCAGUCAGCUUGCCCCCGGGAAGCCCACGAGCAAAUAUUCCCCCGAAAAAGGUGGAAUUGUGGGGCCUUCUCCCUACUUAGCUUCGGGAGGCCACAUAGCAUCACCUCGGCUGCCUUUUAUUCAUGGAAGCAGUCAGGGUCACUCAGGGAGGGGGCCCACUUCUUUGUAGGUAGGAAGCGCGGCAAUGAAUUUGUGGCCACAUCGUCAAGUUGCCACACAUCCUUGGUGAGUCCACUGUAGAGCCAGAGGUGACAACACCUGGAUCCAUGUCUCGCACACCCUGACCUGCAGGGCAGGGCUGGGACCUGGCGCGACAUUGAAAAGGAAGCCACUCUCGGGAUCAUGCAAGCACAGGGGAGCAUCUCCCUAUGAUUUUGUGCCCAAGGUGCUUUCCUGGCCUCAUCCUGGUCCUGGCCCUGCCCAAGGGAACGUGUGUAUGAGUCGUGGGUGGGGCAGGACUUAGAUCCCCAAGUCUCAGACUUUGAUAUUCUAGUUCAAUAAGCCUGGAGUAGGGACUGGGAUGCUGUAUAUUUUCACAGAAUUCCGGUGGACUGAUUGCAGAUUCCGUGCGGUUUCCCGGUACCCCGCCUUUGCUCGGGCUGUCCCCCCCUACCUGGACCUUCUUCUCCUUCCAUUUCUUUCUUUCUUUUUUUUUCUCUCCUUCCAUUUCUAUCAAGUACCGAAUAUCUAGCAACGUUUACCAUUGAUUGCAAAUACUGUCCCUUUUAUCAAGCAAGGGUCCCAACAGCCAGAGUAUCAAACUGCGCCCCCUAAGAGACCCGGAACACUUUAUAUCCCUUAGCACUCACAUUUUGUUCCAUCUUGUUUGUGGACAUACCUUCUAGAAAGAGCAUAUUCCCUUCCUUUUUAAAAAAUUUUAAAAAGAUUUUAUUUAUUCAUGAGAGGCAGAGACACGCGCAGAGGGAGAAGCAGGCUCCAUGCAGGGAGCCCCAGGCGGGACUCGAGCCCGGGACCCCAAGACCACGCCCUGGGCCCAAGGCAGACGCUCAGCCACGGGGCCCCCCAGGGAUCCCCAAUAUAGUCCCUUCCUUAGGAGGCCACAGUGGAGAUGUGGGCCUGCCCCAUCCACUCUGGUAAGUGGCGUUGGGGUAGGCCAAGGGGCUAUUCUCGGAGUCUUCUCAGGCUGCUCAAGUCCUAACCCAACAAGCGCCGG
rnacentral:lncRNA from 1 species